UAUAUCAGUUGACUUUACCAGCUGAGCUACACAGAAAUUGGCAUGAAAGGAAUUUGUUCCCCAUUCCUGUGUGAAGAAAACCUGCUCUAAGUUUGGAGGACAAGUAGGGAGUUGCUGAUCUCUUGGAAAACUACAGAUAUGUUACAAAUCAUCAUGCUUUUGGCCCUAAGGGAAUGAGAGACAGAACAAAAUACAUAUUUGGUUACACUGAAACUUGAUGAAUGUCACUGGCUUCAUAGAUGAAAUGAAUGAACUUCUACAUGCUGACUGGCUGACACAGCAAAGGAAGACAAUGGCAUCUGCAGAUGGCUCUGUGCUGCCACCUGAUGCAUCUACGACCAAAGAAGAAUGAUAGAAGCUUACUUUGCAUUGAAUGACCAGCAUGUUCUAGGAAUUAAAGAAGGGGAUGAUGUAGGGGUUGCAUGGCAACAUAUUCUAGCAUCUGAACAUAGUAUUUGAGGUCGGGCAUUGAAAAAUACUGAGGCACUGUGUAUGUUAUUUGUGCAUGGGAAUGAAACUCCUUGACCCUGAAAAUAGGACAGGGAGUGGAGUGUGUGGUGUGAUAAAGAAUGCUGAAAACAGCUUCCUAAGAAUGCAGUUUGAGUGUGUACAAGGUCACAGGUGCCUCAGCAACCCACCUCGAAUGACCAUCUAGUGGAUGUUUGUAGUUAGUACAAGCCCUUUCAAUAUAUACUUGGCAGAUGGAUGCUGGGGUGGACUCUCUCAGAAGAGCUACCCCCUAAACUUGCUCAGCUGGAACUGAGUACUUCAUUCUUGGCGUUCACUGCAAGCUAUAAGCUCUGCGAAACUGAACUUAUAAAUGAUAUGAAUAGCAUU